rnacentral:rRNA from 1 species
CAGUAGCCGCGGGAAUACGUAGGUGGCAAGCGUUGUCCGGAAUUAUUGGGCGUAAAGCGAGCGCAGGCGGUCAAUUAAGUCUGAUGUGAAAGCCCCCGGCUCAACCGGGGAGGGUCAUUGGAAACUGGUUGACUUGAGUGCAGAAGAGGAGAGUGGAAUUCCAUGUGUAGCGGUGAAAUGCGUAGAUAUAUGGAGGAACACCAGUGGCGAAGGCGACUCUCUGGUCUGUAACUGACGCUGAGGCUCGAAAGCGUGGGUAGCAAACAGGAUUAGAUACCCCUGUAGUCCCUGUCUCUUAUAC